AGGCUGGUCUCAAACUCCUGACCUUGCGAUCCGUCCACCUUGACCUCCCAAAGUGCUGGGAUUACAGGCGUGAGCCACCGUGCCUGGCCAAGACAGUACUAUAAUUUUAUUUCCCAGCAAAAAUGUCUUAUACCCCUAAAUGAGUUAAACAGUAAAAUUUUACAAAUUUAGAAAAAGAGAGCUAAUUUGGGGCCAGAAAGGUGAGAGAGGGACUUAUGAAAUAGCAGGAAAAGUAUUGAGAGGAAAUAGACACAUCCAAUUGGAAUGAGUAAGAGUGUGCCCAGGAUGUGGUGAGGAGGUUGCCUGGCCAGAACAGAGGGCUUGUUUCAUGUGUCCAGCCUGUAUCUCGUAGAUAUUUUGUAUCAGAUCUUGAUAGCCUGAAAUCUUGUCUUUGAAAUUAAAACUUUUUCAUAGAGUGAAAAAGAUCAGAGAGAAGCGUUUGAGGAAGGUAGCAAAGCAGAAAUAAAUAUAAUUGCACGAGGAAGGUGAAAAACAAUCAUAGAGUGGAACUAAUAUUUAAAAUCCAAGAAAAGGUUCUAAAA